UACGUAGGUGGCUAGCGUUGUCCGGAUUUACUGGGCGUAAAGAGCGCGCAGGCGGUCGUUCAAGUCGAGUGUGAAAGCCCCCGGCUCAACUGGGGAGGGUCACUCGAUACUGAUCGACUUGAAGGCGGGAGAGGGAAGCGGAAUUCUCGGUGUAGCGGUGAAAUGCGUAGAUAUCGAGAGGAACACCUGCGGCGAAGGCGGGUUGCUGGGCCGACACUGACGCUGAUGCGCGAAAGCCAGGGGAGCGAACGGG
rnacentral:rRNA from 1 species